rnacentral:rRNA from 1 species
AACCUGCGGAGGGAUCAUUACACAAAUAUGAAGGCGGGCUGGAACCUCUCGGGGUUACAGCCUUGCUGAAUUAUUCACCCUUGUCUUUUGCGUACUUCUUGUUUCCUUGGUGGGUUCGCCCACCACUAGGACAAACAUAAACCUUUUGUAAUUGCAAUCAGCGUCAGUAACAAAUUAAUAAUUACAACUUUCAACAACGGAUCUCUUGGUUCUGGCAUCGAUGAAGAACGCAGCGAAAUGCGAUAAGUAGUGUGAAUUGCAGAAUUCAGUGAAUCAUCGAAUCUUUGAACGCACAUUGCGCCCUUUGGUAUUCCAAAGGGCAUGCCUGUUCGAGCGUCAUUUGUACCCUCAAGCUUUGCUUGGUGUUGGGCGUCUUGUCUCUAGCUUUGCUGGAGACUCGCCUUAAAGUAAUUGGCAGCCGGCCUACUGGUUUCGGAGCGCAGCACAAGUCGCACUCUCUAUCGAGCAAAGGUCUAGCAUCCAUUAAGCCUUUUUUUCAACUUUUGACCUCGGAUCAGGUAGGSAUACCCGMUGAACUUAAGCAUAUCAAUAAGCGGAGGAAGG